rnacentral:misc_RNA from 1 species
GAUGAAGAACGUAGCGAAAUGCGAUACUCGGUGUGAAUUGCAGAAUCCCGUGAACCAUCGAGUCUUUGAACGCAAGUUGCGCCCGAAGCCAUUAGGCCGAGGGCACGCCUGCCUGGGCGUCACACGUCGUUGCCCCCCCAUCUACUCCUUCGGGAUUGCGGGGGGCGGAUGAUGGCCUCCCGUGCGCCUCGCCGCGCGGUUGGCAUAAAUGCCAAGUCCUCGGCGACGCACGCCACGACAAUCGGUGGUUGCGAAACCUCGGUUGCCCGUCGUGUGCGGUCGUCGCGCAUCGAGGGCUCGAAAAAAUUGCCGGGUUCCGGCUCGGCUUUCAACGCGACCCCAGGUCAGGCGGGGUUACCCGCUGAAUUUAAGCAUAUCAAUAAGCGGAGGA